rnacentral:rRNA from 1 species
ACGAACGCUGGCGGCGUGCUUAACACAUGCAAGUCGAGCGGAAAGGCCUCUUCGGGGGUACUCGAGCGGCGAACGGGUGAGUAACACGUGAGUAACCUGUCCUUGGCUUUGGGAUAACCCUCGGAAACGGGGGCUAAUACCGGAUAUGACCUUGUCCUGCAUGGGGUGGGGUGGAAAGUUUUUUCGGCUAGGGGUGGGCUCGCGGCCUAUCAGCUUGUUGGUGGGGUGAUGGCCUACCAAGGCGACGACGGGUAGCCGGCCUGAGAGGGCGACCGGCCACACUGGGACUGAGACACGGCCCAGACUCCUACGGGAGGCAGCAGUGGGGAAUAUUGCACAAUGGGCGGAAGCCUGAUGCAGCGACGCCGCGUGAGGGAUGACGGCCUUCGGGUUGUAAACCUCUUUCAGCAGGGACGAAGCGUGAGUGACG